GACGUAGGGCGCGAGCGUUGUCCGGAUUUAUUGGGCGUAAAGAGCUCGUAGGCGGCUUGUCGCGUCGACUGUGAAAACUCGGGGCUCAACUCCGAGCCUGCAGUCGAUACGGGCAGACUAGAGUGCUGUAGGGGAGACUGGAAUUCCUGGUGUAGCGGUGAAAUGCGCAGAUAUCAGGAGGAACACCGGUGGCGAAGGCGGGUCUCUGGGCAGUAACUGACGCUGAGGAGCGAAAGCGUGGGGAGCAAACAGG
rnacentral:rRNA from 1 species